AUGCCUACGGGGGGCAGCAGUGAGGAAUAUUGGUCAAUGGGAGAGAUCCUGAACCAGCCAAGCCGCGUGAGGGAAGACGGCCCUAUGGGUUGUAAACCUCUUUUGUCGGGGAGCAAAGUGCCGCACGUGUGCGGUUUGGAGAGUACCCGGAGAAAAAGCAUCGGCUAACUCCGUGCCAGCAGCCGCGGUAAUACGGAGGAUGCGAGCGUUAUCCGGAUUUAUUGGGUUUAAAGGGUGCGUAGGCGGACGCUUAAGUCAGCGGUAAAAUUGCGGGGCUCAACCUCGUCGAGCCGUUGAAACUGGGG
rnacentral:rRNA from 1 species